UGCCUUUGUGUUGCCCAUUCACACUGCCUUUGGUGAAUGUGGUGUCAGAAAAGGCAUAUAUCAACUCUAGUUGUCAUGUUUCAUGAAUGGAUAUUCAAUUUUUUUCUGCAUUUCAGCUAGAACAUAC